GAAUAUUGCGCAAUGGACGGAAGUCUGACGCAGCGACGCCGCGUGAGCGAUGAAGGUCUUCGGAUCGUAAAGCUCUGUCCUUGGGGAAGAAGGCGAAAGCUUGACGGUACCCAAGAAGAAAGCCCCGGCUAACUACGUGCCAGCAGCCGCGGUAAUACGUAGGGGGCGAGCGUUGUCCGGAAUUACUGGGCGUAAAGGGUGCGUAGGCGGCCCUUUAAGUCGGAUGUGAAAGCCCGCGGCUUAACCGCGGAAUGGCAUUCGAAACUGGAGGGCUUGAGUGUCGGAGAGGGUAGUGGAAUUCCCAGUGUAGCGGUGAAAUGCGUAGAUAUUGGGAGGAACACCAGUGGCGAAGGCGACUACCUGGACGAUAACUGACGCUGAGGCACGAAAGCUAGGGGAGCAAACAG
rnacentral:rRNA from 1 species